GAUGAACGCUGGCGGCGUGCCUAAUACAUGCAAGUCGAGCGAACGGACGAGAAGCUUGCUUCUCUGAUGUUAGCGGCGGACGGGUGAGUAACACGUGGAUAACCUACCUAUAAGACUGGGAUAACUUCGGGAAACCGUAGCUAAUACCGGAUAAUAUUUUGAACCGCAUGGUUCAAAAGUGAAAGACGGUCUUGCUGUCACUUAUAGAUGGAUCCGCGCUGCAUUAGCUAGUUGGUAAGGUAACGGCUUACCAAGGCAACGAUGCAUAGCCGACCUGAGAGGGUGAUCGGCCACACUGGAACUGAGACACGGUCCAGACGCCUACGGGAGGCAGCAGUAGGGAAUCUUCCGCAAUGGGCGAAAGCCUGACGGAGCAACGCCGCGUGAGUGAUGAAGGGCUUCGGAUCGUAAAACUCUGUUAUUAGGGAAGAACAUAUGUGUAAGUAACUGUGCACAUCUUGACGGUACCUAAUCAGAAAGCCACGGCUAACUACGUGC
rnacentral:rRNA from 1 species